rnacentral:rRNA from 1 species
UACGUAGGGCGCAAGCGUUGUCCGGAAUUAUUGGGCGUAAAGAGCUCGUAGGCGGCUUGUCACGUCGGUUGUGAAAGCCCGAGGCUUAACCUCGGGUCUGCAGUCGAUACUGGCAGGCUGGAGUAUGGUAGAGGAAGGUGGAAUUCCCGGUGUAGCAGUGAAAUGCGUAGAGAUCGGGAGGAACACCAGUGGCGAAGGCGGCCUUCUGGACCAAUACUGACGCUCAUGCGCGAAAGCGUGGGGAGCAAACAGG